UUGCUUUGGCAGCAAAUAUAUAAAAAUUGGAAGAAUGCAGAGAUUAGCAUGGCCCCUCGAGAAGGAUGACACAAAAAUUCAUGAGCAUUGCAUUAAUUAA
ensembl:snRNA U6 U6 spliceosomal RNA